GACGAACGCUGGCGGCGUGCUUAACACAUGCAAGUCGAACGGAGUGGCGAACGGGUGAGUAACACGUGGGUGACCUGCCCUGCACUUCGGGAUAAGCCUGGGAAACUGGGUCUAAUACCGGAUAGUGGGGGAUGGGACCGGGGCCUAUCCGCUUGUUGGUGGGGUAAUGGCCUACAAAGGAGGAUACGGGUAGACGGCCUGAGAGGGUGGACGGCCACAUUGGGACUGAGACUCCGCCCAGACUCCUACGGGAGGCAGCAGUGGGGACUAUUGCACAAUGGGCGGAAGCCUGAUGCAGCGACGCCGCGUGGGGGAUGACGGCCUUCGGGUUGUAAACUCCUUUCACCAUCGACGCGGUAGAUGGAGAAGAAGCACCGGCUAACUACGUGCCAGCAGCCGCGGUAAUAC
rnacentral:rRNA from 1 species